UGUAAAAUAUUUCACUCAAAAUUUAAUUUGAAGAAGAUAAUCCGAUAAUGCAAUACAGUGGCGAAUAAAUCAAUCUGAGAUGUUGAACAAAGCGAGAGAAAUGUUGAUUAUGAAUGUCCUUAAAGGUGCCAUGUGUCAUGUCUGGCAAAAAAAUCAAGUCAUACUCCACAUUCCAUACCAGAUGGGGGUGAAACAUGACAUCUUCAAGCUACUCCCCUUCACCUUUACCAGUGAAUAUGUUCAUAUUCGUUUUGUUCAUAUUACAUUUUGAAUUGUAUAUACACAUUAUUUGAAUUAAAUUAAUUUGACAGACAGCAUUCUGUCAACAUCAUUGGUCAACAUCAGACAGCUGAUGUUGACCAAGCUAGCGCCAACCAACGUAACCAGAGCUGCCAACUCUCAAGCAUUCACCGUGAGAUACACGCAAUUGACUCUUUUCACACGCUUUCAAAAUUUGACCGCUCUGAAUAUAGUGAGUGAGUGCGCGCGCGGCCGGGGCUCGCUCGCUCUCUCUCUCGCUCUCUCUCUCUCUCGGGUUCAUUAUCAUCGAAGACAUUUCAAGCUUCUUAGGUAAUGUUACAUUUUAGCAUCAGCUUGGUAGAGACGGGCUUUGGUAGAUAACAGGUGAAAACCGGAUCGGAUCUGUGGGUAAGUUAUAGCUAGCUAAUUAUCAAACGCAGCUACGGUUAGCCAUCGCUAACAUUAGCACGUUUAUCGAACAGCCUUCGAUACAUUUCUAUGUUAUAACUUCCCGAAAAAAAUACGCAAACAUAUAAAACAAACUUCUAGCGAAAUACUAACAGCAUCUUACUUACCAAUCCAAAAGAAAUGUUGCAAGUUCGGAGUCGAACCUCAUUUCUUUCAAGUCCAUCAGUUGUCUCCAGCGAUGGAAAGCAGUGCCGAUGUUUACUCUGGUUCGGCUCCUUUUCUUAUCGGAUUUGAUUUGUGAUUCCGAGCGCGGUUGUUUCCCUGUAGCGGGUGGUGGUGGUCAGCCCUCUGCGCUUGAAGCGACAAAUCGGCCGUCAGCAUGCAUGUCGGAGACCAGGCACCAUAGCGUUCUGUCUUUCUCUCUUUCUCGCUCUCUGCAGAUGUUCUCUCUACCUAUUCAGCAGGGUGACAGUGGGCUGUGACAGCUUUCCCUAAUGACCCGUGAGUGCCCGCUUCUGUGUGCUGACAUUUUGGGUGGCAGCACAGAUGCCAGGCAUGCAGAGGGGGGCGUUACUGCCGCUGGCAGAUCUCGCUCCAAAUAAAUUACUGUCAGAGGUGUUGCUCUCA
ensembl:lncRNA